AGGUACCUUUUCUUGGCUGAUCCCUUUCGCUGUAUGGCGUGCUCGUUUGGGUUGGGCGUCGGUUAAGAGUGCUCGGAGCGUGGAUUAACUCCAGUCUCCUAUCAGGUAAUCCCUAAGCUUAGAUGGUUUGGAGCUGCGAGGGACUCGGAGAUGGCCACACUACUGUUUCUGUUUCUUUUAAUUGCAAUAAGUAGCCGAUUUAUUUCUUUAUAAGUUUUAUCUUAUUAAUAUUAUUAUUUGGUUUUGGGUUGUAAUAAGGCCAAUUUAAUUAUUUUUCUGGGAUUAUUUUAUCUUA